UUUUUGUCUUGAAAAAUAACAAAUGAAAAAUAGAGAAACAAACUCUAUCCUAAUUGCUUCACACCCUAGCACUGGAUCACAACCGGCUGACCAAACUUCUGGGUUUCUACCACCCACUGUUGAUUUUUAAACAUCUUAAUUAAAAUUAUUCUGUGGAUGGUAGAUUAAUGUUGGAAGAUAUCUAUUGUUGAACCUUUGAGUGUAUCUUUGUUAUUUAUUUAUUGACAUAUAAAGGAAAUCAAAACAAAGUAUCAAGGGGGUGCCACCCAAUACAUGAAUAGAUGUAAUAACGGAGUCAAUAGUGUAAUGUUAUUGUCAAGAUGCUUUCCAUGAUCUAAAAGGAUGGGUUAUACAAAAAAAAAAAAAAAA